CCUGCCCGGGUUUGUAAUCGGAGUUUGCUCUCCUAGGUGAACUGCUCACGCUAACGACCUUCACCUGCCCGGUUUUAUAAUCGGAGUUUGCUCUCCUAGAUGAACUGCUUUCGCUAACGAGCUCCACCUGCCCGGGUUUAUUGUUCGGAGUUUGCUCUCCUAGGUGUAUUACCUAUGACGGCUCACGAGCCCAACCUGCCCGGGUUUAUUGUUCGGAGUUUGCUCUCCUAGGUGAAUUGCCUACCACGGCUAACGAACCUCACCUGCCCGGGUUUGUUGUUCGGAGUUUGCUCUCCUAGGUGAAUUGCCUACCACGGCUAACGAACCUCACCUGCCCGGGUUUGUUGUUCGGAGUUUGCUCUCCUAGGCAGAUUGCCU